rnacentral:lncRNA from 1 species
UGGUCCCGUGAUUUUUCCCGCUUCUAGGUUUUUCACGUAAAAUUUUUGAUGUACUUUUAUGCAGUUUGAUUUGUCUUUGUUAUUGGUGCUAGUUAUUAUUGGUUGCUUGUAUUUUUUUUAACAAACUGAUAGUAAAAAUUAUUUAAUCUCAUAAAAAAAAAAUCAGUUUGCUUGUUUUCCUACCAAAUAGAAACAGUUGAAUCUGCUUUUUGAUGCCACG